GAUGAACGCUGGCGGCGUGCCUAAUACAUGCAAGUCGAGCGAACGGACGAUAAGCUUGCUUUUCUGAUGUUUGCGGCGGACGUGUGAGUAACACGUGUAUCACCUACCUAUAAUUCUGGUAUAACUUCGGGAAACCGGAUCUUAUACCGGAUAAUAUUUUGAACCGCAUGGUUCAUAAGUGAAAGACGGUCUUUCUGUCUCUUAUAGAUGCUUCCGCGCUUCAUUAGCUAGUUGUUAAGGUAACGGCUUACCAAGGCAACGAUGCAUAGCCGACCUGAGAGGGUGAUCGGCCACACUGGAACUGAGACACGGUCCAGACUCCUACGGGAGGAAGCAGUAGGGAAUCUUACGCAAUGGGCGAAAGCCUGACGGAGCAACGCCGCGUGAGUGAUGAAGGUCUUAGGAUCGUAAAACUCUGUUAUUAGGGAAGAACAUAUGUGUAAGUAACUGUGCACAUCUUGACGGUACCUAAUCAGAAAGCCACGGCUAACUACGUG
rnacentral:rRNA from 1 species